CAACAUUGCUUGUGAAAAUAAACAUGGCUCAAAAAAAAGAGAUGACAUAAUAAAUUAUAAGCUGUUGAAUAAAAAAAAGACAUCCUCCAAAAAUAGUUUAAUUAUAAAUAACAAAAAUGGUUUUAACCUUUUACAACAUAAUAAUAAAGGAAAGACAUUUAAAAAUUAUGAAACAGGUGUAACUCAAAUUUUAAAAAAAAAUAAAAAAAUCAACAGUUAUAAUCAUUUAAACACAAAACUAUCCAACUUAGCAAAAAGCAAAGACAUAACAAACUACAACUACCACUACAACUACCACUACAACUACAACUACAACUACCACUACAACUACAACUACAACUACAACUACAACUACAACCACUUUUACCAAAACAAUAAGAAUGAUAAUGAUAUGUUCAUUAACAAUAGAUUGAUAUCCAAUCGAAAAAAAAAAGUUAUAGAUGAUAAAUAUAAUUUUUUUUACCGAUUGGAAAAAAUGUUAUUUAUUUUUGACAAAUUAAAAUAUGAACAGUUAUAUAUUUUAUUAUAUUUUUCUUUAUCUGUUAUACCUACACUUUUUCAUACAUAUUUAACGCGUAAAUUUAAAAAAAUAAAUGAACGCGUUCAUGUUAGUUUGUACUUAAUGUACGUAUCGAAAAAAAUAAAAAAGCAAUCGAUUGGUUAUUUUUAUGGUAAUAAAGGACAAAAAUAUGGAUAUGUUGGUAUCACUCGAGAUGCUGAAACUGCAGUGGGUAAUGGUAUGGGUAGUGAUGGUAGUGAUGGUAGUAACAUAAUAAACAAACAAGUUAAAAAAGGAAAAAAAAAAGGAAAAACAAAAAAAAAAACGAAGUGGUUUAACACAAUUGGUGAAACUCUUUGGAACAAAAUUAAUUCUAUUUCUGUUGAAAAUAAAAUUAAAACAUUAAUGACAACACAAAACGAAAAAAACGAUUGUUUAGCCAAAUUUAAAAAAAAAAUGUAUUUAUUACAUACAUUUGACAUGACAAAAGAUUUUCGAAAAAUAAAACUUGUGUCUGUAAAUAAUAACAGUAGUAGUAAUACCCAUGAAACGUUAUCAAACACAUUGACAUUGGGAGAUAAUAAUGGAAGUAUAAAAGCGAAUGGGUGUGAAGCGAAUGAUAGCAAGAAUAACAAAAAUGGUGUUAAACAGCUGAGUCACAUGGUGGCCCCAACCAACUCGAUAAGAAUGACUAAGGCAGAAGUUACAAAUGAAGAGAAAGAACUAACACAGCAACAGGAUAAAAAAGUGCGGCUUCGUGUGCAAGUACGAACGCAGUCGCAAGCACAGACGCAACACUUGAAAAUGCGACUGAAAAAGCGAAUGGAAAAGCCACUGAAAAAGCCACUGGAAAAGCCACUGGAAAAGCCACUGGAAAAGCCACUGGAAAAGCCACUGGAAAAACCACUGGAAAAACCACUAGAAAAACCACUAGAAAAGCAACUGGAAGAGCAACUGGAAGAGCAACUGAAAGAGCAACUCCAAAUUAAACACAUCUACAAAUAUUACAAAAAAGAAAAAAAAAAUAUAUCGAAUUAUAAAGGGUUUGAGCUUUUUAUGAAAAGUAUAACAACAAUAUGCAAUGAGUAUUUUUUACAAUUUUUUAUAAACAAUAUAAAUAUUAAAAAAAGUUUAAAAAAAAAUAAUUCUAUUUUAAAUGUAUACAAAAGUGGUGAUGGUAUUAAUAAUUUAAUGAAAGAAGUAUGUUCUGCUGAGAGCAGUAGUUGCGAUAACACGGAUCAUAUACGCAUUUGUAGUUUAUAUAAAGAAAAUACAUUAAUAUAUAAUGAAUAUAUUAAAAAAAAAAUAAAAAAAAAUAAAAUAUAUACAUAUAAACUAAUGCACAACCAAAUAGAAACGUUAUUAAGUUCAAAAGAAUUAAUUGAAUAUAUAAACAAACAAAAAGAAAAUAAAAAAAAAAAA
rnacentral:lncRNA from 1 species